UGGGGAAUAUUGCACAAUGGGGGAAACCCUGAUGCAGCGACGCCGCGUGGAGGAAGAAGGUCUUCGGAUUGUAAACUCCUGUUGUUGAGGAAGAUAAUGACGGUACUCAACAAGGAAGUGACGGCUAACUACGUGCCAGCAGCCGCGGUAAAACGUAGGUCACAAGCGUUGUCCGGAAUUACUGGGUGUAAAGGGAGCGCAGGCGGGAAGACAAGUUGGAAGUGAAAUCCAUGGGCUCAACCCAUGAACUGCUUUCAAAACUGUUUUUCUUGAGUAGUGCAGAGGUAGGCGGAAUUCCCGGUGUAGCGGUGGAAUGCGUAGAUAUCGGGAGGAACACCAGUGGCGAAGGCGGCCUACUGGGCACCAACUGACGCUGAGGCUCGAAAGUGUGGGUAGCAAACAGGAUUAGAUACCCUGGUAGUCCACACCGUAAACGAUGAUUACUAGGUGUUGGAGGAUUGACCCCUUCAGUGCCGCAGUUAACACAAUAAGUAAUCCACCUGGGGAGUACGACCGCAAGGUUGAAACUCAAAGGAAUUGACGGGGGCCCGCACAAGCAGUGGAGUAUGUGGUUUAAUUCGACGCAACGCGAAGAACCUUACCAAGUCUUGACAUCCCUUGACGAUGCUGGAAACAGUAUUUCUCUUCGGAGCAAGGAGACAGGUGGUGCAUGGUUGUCGUCAGCUCGUGUCGUGAGAUGUUGGGUUAAGUCCCGCAACGAGCGCAACCCUUAUGGUCAGUUACUACGCAAGAGGACUCUGGCCAGACUGCCGUUGACAAAACGGAGGAAGGUGGGGAUGACGUCAAAUCAUCAUGCCCUUUAUGACUUGGGCUACACACGUACUACAAUGGCGUUAAACAAAGAGAAGCAAGACCGCGAGGUGGAGCAAAACUCAGAAACAACGUCCCAGUUCGGACUGCAGGCUGCAACUCGCCUGCACGAAGUCGGAAUUGCUAGUAAUCGUGGAUCAGCAUGCCACGGUGAAUACGUUCCC
rnacentral:rRNA from 1 species